AUUGAACGCUGGCGGCGUGCCUAAUACAUGCAAGUCGAGCGAACGGACGAGAAGCUUGCUUCUCUGAUGUUAGCGGCGGACGGGUGAGUAACACGUGGAUAACCUACCUAUAAGACUGGGAUCACUUCGGGAAACCGGAGCUAAUACCGGAUAAUAUUUUGAACCGCAUGGUUCAAAAGUGAAAGACGGUCUUGCUGUCACUUAUAGAUGGAUCCGCGCUGCAUUAGCUAGUUGGUAAGGUAACGGCUUACCAAGGCGACGAUGCAUAGCCGACCUGAGAGGAUGAUCGGCCACACUGGAACUGAGACACGGUCCAGACUCCUACGGGAGGCAGCAGUAGGGAAUCUUCCGCAAUGGGCGAAAGCCUGACGGAGCAACGCCGCGUGAGUGAUGAAGGUCUUCGGAUCGUAAAACUCUGUUAUUAGGGAAGAACAUAUGUGUAAGUAACUGUGCACAUCUUGACGGUACCUAAGCAGAAAGCCACGGCUAACUACGUG
rnacentral:rRNA from 1 species